rnacentral:rRNA from 1 species
AUUGAACGCUGGCGGCAGGCCUAACACAUGCAAGUCGAACGGUAACAGGAAGAAUCUUGCUUCUUUGCUGACGAGUGGCGGACGGGUGGGUAAUGUCUGUGGAACUUCCUGAUGGAGGGGGUUAACUACUGGAAACGGUAGCUACUACCGCAUAACGUCGCAAGACCAAGAAGCUGGGGCUUCCAGCCUCUUGCCAUCGGCUGGGUCCAGAUGGGAUUAGCUAGUAGGUGGGGUAACGGCUCACCUAGGCGACGAUCCCUAGCUGGUCUGAGAGGAUGACCAGCCACACUGGAACUGAGACACGGUCCAGACUCCUACGGGAGGCAGCAGUGGGGAAUAUUGCACAAUGGGCGAAAGCCUGAUGCAGCCAUGCCGCGUGUAUGAAGAAGGUCUUCGGGUUGUAAAGUACUUUAAGCGGGGAGGAAGGGAGGAAAGUUAAUACCUUUCCUCAUUGACGUUACCCGCAGAAGAAGCACCGGCUAACUCCGUG